rnacentral:rRNA from 1 species
UCCUGGCUUAGAACGAACGCUGGCGGCGCGCUUAAGCAUGCAAGUCGAACGGCAAGAAGAGAGCUUGCUCUCUCCUAGAGUGGCGGACUGGUGAGUAACACGUGGGUGACGUACCCUUGGACGGGGAUAGCCGAUAGAAACUAUCGGGGUAAUACCGGAUAAGGACACACAGGUUGGAGCUGUGUGUGGAAAGUAGCUACGGCUACGCCGAAGGAACGGCCUGCGACCCAUCGAGCUAGUAGGUGAGGUAAGAGCCCACCUAGGCAAUGACGGGUAUCCGGCCUGAGAGGGUGAACGGACACAUUGGGACUGAGAUACGGCCCAGACUCCUACGGGAGGCAGCAGCUAAGAAUAUUCCGCAAUGGACGAAAGUCUGACGGAGCGACGCCGCGUGGACGAAUGAAGGCCGGAAGGUUGUAAAGUCCUUUUAUUAUUGAAGAAUAAUCAGAAGAGGGAAUGCUUCUGGGGUGACCGUAGAUAAUGAAUAAGCACCGGCUAAUUACGUGCCAGCAGCGGC